GAGGCGCACAGCGCGGAGGCCUGGGUACUGCGUCCCCGCGCCUGCGCCUAUAGUAUCGCUGGAGGCGUGCGGCGCGCAAGCGCUCCGAACGUGGGCGGGGCUUAGGGCAGGCGGGCCCAGAAGCGGAUCUUUAUUGAUAGACCCAUCAGAAAAUAGAAGUCACAAAGGAAACCACACCCCAAAAUUUGGAAAGACCGGCAAAUACUGAAAAUCAUGGCAGGAAGCCAGCUGCCAUGUUGUGAGCUGUCCAUGUGGAAAGAAUUGAUGUGUCCAGACAAAAGCCAGCAAGGACCCCAACCCAGCCAACAGUUUAAAUGAGUGCAUCUGCAAGAUGAUUAUCCUCCCAUAAAGCCUUCAGGUGAAUGUCGCACUGGCUAACAACCUGCCUGCAGCCUUGUGGGAAUUGAGGCACCCAGCUAAGCCACACCUGGACUCCUUACCCAAAGACUCUUUUGUUCCAAGCGGACCACUCAUCCAUGUUCUCUACACUAAGACUGUUCUCAGAUGGAUAGUAAAGCUGAAUUUCCUCACCAAUAAAGUCGCAUUACCUCACA